rnacentral:rRNA from 1 species
UACGUAGGGGGCAAGCGUUGUCCGGAUUUAUUGGGCGUAAAGAGCGUGUAGGCGGCCGUGUAGGUCUGACGUGAAAUCUGGAGGCUCAACCUCCAGCUGUCGUUGGAAACCGCUCGGCUAGAGUCCGGAAGAGGAGAGUGGAAUUCCUGGUGUAGCGGUGAAAUGCGCAGAUAUCAGGAAGAACACCAAUGGCGAAAGCAGCUCUCUGGGACGGUACUGACGCUGAGACGCGAAAGCGUGGGGAGCGAACAGG